ACGAACGCUGGCGGCGUGCCUAAUACAUGCAAGUCGAACGAAACUUUCUUACACCGAAUGCUUGCAUUCACCGUAAGAAGUUGAGUGGCGGACGGGUGAGUAACACGUGGGUAACCUGCCUAAAAGAAGGGGGUAACACUUGGAAACAGGUGCUAAUACCGUAUAUCUCUAAGGAUCGCAUGAUCCUUAGAUGAAAGAUGGUUCUGCUAUCGCUUUUAGAUGGACCCGCGGCGUAUUAACUAGUUGGUGGGGUAACGGCCUACCAAGGUGAUGAUACGUAGCCGAACUGAGAGGUUGAUCGGCCACAUUGGGACUGAGACACGGCCCAAACUCCUACGGGAGGCAGCAGUAGGGAAUCUUCCACAAUGGACGCAAGUCUGAUGGAGCAACGCCGCGUGAGUGAAGAAGGUCUUCGGAUCGUAAAACUCUGUUGUUAGAGAAGAACACGAGUGAGAGUAACUGUUCAUUCGAUGACGGUAUCUAACCAGCAAGUCACGGCUAACUACGUGCCAGCAGCCGCGGUAAUACGUAGGUGGCAAGCGUUGUCCGGAUUUAUUGGGCGUAAAGGGAACGCAGGCGGUCUUUUAAGUCUGAUGUGAAAGCCUUCGGCUUAACCGGAGUAGUGCAUUGGAAACUGGAAGACUUGAGUGCAGAAGAGGAGAGUGGAACUCCAUGUGUAGCGGUGAAAUGCGUAGAUAUAUGGAAGAACACCAGUGGCGAAAGCGGCUCUCUGGUCUGUAACUGACGCUGAGGUUCGAAAGCGUGGGUAGCAAACAGGAUUAGAUACCCUGGUAGUCCACGCCGUAAACGAUGAAUGCUAGGUGUUGGAGGGUUUCCGCCCUUCAGUGCCGCAGCUAACGCAAUAAGCAUUCCGCCUGGGGAGUACGACCGCAAGGUUGAAACUCAAAGGAAUUGACGGGGGCCCGCACAAGCGGUGGAGCAUGUGGUUUAAUUCGAAGCAACGCGAAGAACCUUACCAGGUCUUGACAUCCUUUGACCACCUAAGAGAUUAGGCUUUCCCUUCGGGGACAAAGUGACAGGUGGUGCAUGGCUGUCGUCAGCUCGUGUCGUGAGAUGUUGGGUUAAGUCCCGCAACGAGCGCAACCCUUAUUGCCAGUUACUACGCAAGAGGACUCUGGCGAGACUGCCGUUGACAAAACGGAGGAAGGUGGGGAUGACGUCAAAUCAUCAUGCCCCUUAUGACCUGGGCUACACACGUGCUACAAUGGACGGUACAACGAGUCGCGAGACCGCGAGGUUUAGCUAAUCUCUUAAAGCCGUUCUCAGUUCGGAUUGUAGGCUGCAACUCGCCUACAUGAAGUCGGAAUCGCUAGUAAUCGCGAAUCAGCAUGUCGCGGUGAAUACGUUCCCGGGCCUUGUACACACCGCCCGUCACACCAUGAGAGUUUGUAACACCCAAAGCCGGUGGGGUAACCGCAAGGAGCCAGCCGUCUAAGGUGGGACAGAUGAUUGGGGUG
rnacentral:rRNA from 1 species